AUGGAUGCGGGUGCUGGUAAAGGGGCGCACAUGACUCACCAUGCUACUGCAGAGGAGUAUGGAGACUACCUGCUUGCCAAUCAGUUAUCUAUGUAUCAUGAGCGCCAAUUUGAUUUGGAAUGUGGUCAGUCGAGCACGAUGCCUGGGAAGUCGUUGCAACAAUGGGUGUCGCAAGAAGUUGGUCCUCUUGUCUAUAACUACAAUGAAAUGAACAACACACAUACAAACUCUCCUAUGAUUAACAUGACCAACAGGACUAUGCCCGAGUUGUUUCUGCAGAGGAGUCCAAAUGCUGAAGCCUCAAGAACCCAUCCUACAGAAACAACUAAAAUGCAGCAAACUGGGGUGAGCUUCAUGAAUGUAUCCGGCGAUGCACCUAUGUCAUACAUGCAACUGCUGCUUGCUGCUGAACAAGAGGGGGCAAAAUAUUUCUCGUCUCAAUCACAGGAAGAACGCCUAGUUCGUACUGAGAAUGACAUGUUCAUGAUAACUGGCUGCUAUGGAAGAGGAACAUCAGAAGAACCAAGGCAACCAACUCAUGAUAACACAGGGCGAGUUUUGGUUGAACAAAAUCAGGAGCCUUUCCUGUUUGUUGACAACACAAAUAUACAAGGACUGCAUGAUUUGAUCUGGGAAACUGAUGAACCUGAUUGUGCACAGAAGCAGCCUUCAGACAAUGAACUUGACAGUGAUAGUGAAUCAGAUCAUAACCUUGGACAGCAUCAAAGAUAA
rnacentral:rRNA from 1 species